rnacentral:rRNA from 1 species
UUCCCCCUUCGGGGGACAGGGUGACAGGUGGUGCAUGGUUGUCGUCAGCUCGUGUCGUGAGAUGUGGUAGUCCCGCAACGAGCGCAACCCUCGACCUUAGUUGCCAGCAUUCAGUUGGGCACUCUAAGGUGACUGCCGGCUAAAAGUCGGAGGAAGGUGGGGAUGACGUCAAAUCAUCAUGCCCCUUAUGACCUGGGCUACACACGUGCUACAAUGGGCGGUACAAAGGGUCGCGAACCCGCGAGGGGGAGCCAAUCCCAAAAAGCCGCUCUCAGUUCGGAUUGCAGGCUGCAACUCGCCUGCAUGAAGCCGGAAUCGCUAGUAAUCGCGGAUCAGCAUGCCGCGGUGAAUACGUUCCCGGGCCUU